ACGUUCUUGUGUUAUUUGUUGAUCGCUGCUUAAGGUCAAUAAUUGUCGAAAAGAACGAAAAUUAAUAUGUGUAACUUUUGUUUAUAUGCCUUAAUU
rnacentral:snoRNA from 1 species